CCUACGGGAGGCAGCAGUGAGGAAUAUUGGACAAUGGGCGCAAGCCUGAUCCAGCCAUGCCGCGUGCAGGAUGACGGUCCUAUGGAUUGUAAACUGCUUUUGCACAGGAAGAAACAACGCUACGUGUAGCGUCUUGACGGUACUGUGAGAAUAAGGAUCGGCUAACUCCGUGCCAGCAGCCGCGGUAAUACGGAGGAUCCAAGCGUUAUCCGGAAUCAUUGGGUUUAAAGGGUCCGUAGGCGGUUUAGUAAGUCAGUGGUGAAAGCCCAUCGCUCAACGGUGGAACGGCCAUUGAUACUGCUAGACUUGAAUUAUUAGGAAGUAACUAGAAUAUGUAGUGUAGCGGUGAAAUGCUUAGAGAUUACAUGGAAUACCAAUUGCGAAGGCAGGUUACUACUAAUAUAUUGACGCUGAUGGACGAAAGCGUGGGUAGCGAACAGGAUUAGAUACCCUGGUAGUCCACGCCGUAAACGAUGGAUACUAGCUGUUGGGAGCAAUUUCAGUGGCUAAGCGAAAGUGAUAAGUAUCCCACCUGGGGAGUACGUUCGCAAGAAGAGAAGUACGAAGAAGUAGUACGACGUAGAGAGNGCGACGGACGACGACGAGGGAGGAGG
rnacentral:rRNA from 1 species